CCCCGCGCCCUGGUCCGCUGGAGGGGCUACGCGCACCGUGCCGCCUCGCCCUGCGAAUCCCAGGGACCCCAGUGCGGUAUAAGCGCGGGAAGCAGGCGAGGGACCCGUUAGACGUGGAGUGGGGACGGAGUGGGGGGCGACAGACUGGGCUGGGAAAUUGCUAACCUGUCCCCGGAGACUGCUUUCUGAGAGCCCUGUCCCUUCCCCGGAAGAGGCCAAUUCCAGAGGGAGGUGAGUUUCCAAAGGAACCCUAGCCCAGAGGCGUCACCCUAGCCACUCAGUGACAGAACCCGGGACCCUGUGCAGAGGGGUCGGUAGUUGGGCGAGGUAGUCAAAGUGCUAUGGGGCGUGAAAAGACCGCUUCCUAAGAGCUGGGGUACAGAAAAAGGAGCUGGGGGAAGUAGGUGAGAAGAGAGACCACGUGGGUCCCUCAGCGCCUGCGUCGGGUGGCUGAGCCGGGCGCGGGUUGGAUUUGGGGGACAGUGCCCUCCACGUAGGGGAAGGCUCGUGGUCUCAGGAUCCGGGGUGAGGAAAGGCAGGUCUGAGGUGCCUGACUUGGUGUUGAGGACCGCGACUCCUUCCUCUUUCCCCCCAAAUCCCUUAGAUGACAGCAGGCGCCCGCCCCGGACAAUCUGAUUCUGGGCAGGGCGCAGCGGGGCUGGCAGGCGCCCGGGGAGGCAGGGAAGUUGCUUCCAAGGACUGGCCGCCCUCAACCUCCUUUAACACACAGCCGGGUGCAGCAGGGCAGCGGCGGACAUUUGUUUCCCAACUCUGGUCAAUGUGAAAGCAGCAACCCGUGCGUCCUGGACCCCAAGGUGGCUGUGUACCGUCGAGGUUUCUAACACUGCUUCCUUGGCAAAAGCGAUAACAAUACCGUGUAUCGGGAUGAGACUAAAGCCAGACGGCAACAACACAGCACACUUUCCCGGGCAGCGCCAGUGCGAGGUGCUUUGAAAGCACACGAGGCAACCCCGGAGGCCGAAGUGGAAGGGUCUCGCCCCGUGGGGCUGCUACCCUGUCUCAUCAUCGCUCCUUGGAGCCCUCCACUGACGGCACCAUCAGAUCGCCUCUCGCACACCGCUCUGCUAUGGCUUAGAUCCUCAGAGCUCUUCAGCAUAUUCUGCAUCUUCCCUCUAACUUGGAAAAAAAAGUUGUGAAAUGGGAUCCUGCCUUCAUAAUUCUGAAGGUUCCUUUCUACACUUUAUAUCUCGUGGCAGACAAUAUGUAUAACUCUACUGCACAUGUCCAAAGGCAC
rnacentral:lncRNA from 1 species